AACGAACGCUGGCGGCGUGCCUAACACAUGCAAGUUGAACGGGUAUAAAUUGUAGCAAUACAAAUUAUACUUAGUGGCGGACGGGUGAGUAACACGUAGGUACCUACCCUUAAGCUGGGGACAACUCAGGGAAACUUGAGCUAAUACCCGAUAAGACUACGGCUGGGAGGCUUGUAGUAAAAGGAGCAAUUCACUUAAGGAUGGGCUGCGGCCUAUCAGGAGUUGGCGGGGUAACGGCCCACCAAGCCAGAGACGGGUAGCCGGGCUGAGAGGUCGAACGCCACACUGGAACUGAGACACGGUCCAGACUCCUACGGGAGGCAGCAGUGGGGAAUAUUCACAAUGGGGGAAACCCUGAUGCAGCGACGCCGCGUGGAGGAUGAAGGUCUUCGGGUUGAAACUCCUUUUCUUGGGAGAGAUAAUGACGGUACCCAAGGAAUAAGCCACGGCUAACUCGUGCCAGCAGCCGCGGUAAGACAGAGGUGGCGAGCGUUGUUCGGAAUUACUGGGCUUAAGGGCGAGUAGGCGGUGGAGCAAGUCUGAGGUGGAAUCUUAGGGCUUAACCCUAAAACUGCUUAGAAACUGUUUUACUUGAGUCAGUG
rnacentral:rRNA from 1 species